rnacentral:rRNA from 1 species
GUGUCAGCAGCCGCGGUAAUACAGAGGGUGCGAGCGUUAAUCGGAAUUACUGGGCGUAAAGCGAGUGUAGGUGGCUCAUUAAGUCACAUGUGAAAUCCCCGGGCUUAACCUGGGAACUGCAUGUGAUACUGGUGGUGCUAGAAUAUGUGAGAGGGAAGUAGAAUUCCAGGUGUAGCGGUGAAAUGGGUAGAGAUCUGGAGGAAUACCGAUGGCGAAGGCAGCUUCCUGGCAUAAUAUUGACACUGA